AGAGUUUGAUCAUGGCUCAGAACUAACGCUGGCGGCGUGCCUAACACAUGCAAGUCGUACGAGAAAGUUGGCUUCGGCCCGAUGAGUAAAGUGGCGCACGGGUGAGUAACGCGUGGAUAAUCUACCCCUCAGUUGGGAAUAACUCAUCGAAAGGUGGGCUAAUACCGAAUAAUACUGCAUAACUUCUGUUGUGUAGUCAAAGAUGGCCUCUGCUUGCAAGCUAUCGCUGAAGGAUGAGUCCGCGUACCAUUAGCUAGUUGGUAGGGUAAUGGCCUACCAAGGCAACGAUGGUUAGCGGGUCUGAGAGGAUGAUCAGCCACACUGGAACUGAGACACGGUCCAGACUCCUACGGGAGGCAGCAGUGAGGAAUAUUGCGCAAUGGGGGCAACCCUGACGCAGCAACGCCGCGUGAGUGAGGAAGGUUUUCGGACCGUAAAGCUCUGUCGAGCGGGAAGAAAUGCAUAGUGGCUAAUAUCCAUUAUGCUUGACGGUACCGCUAAAGGAAGCACCGGCUAACUCCGUGCCAGCAGCCGCGGUAAUACGGGGGGUGCUAGCGUUGUUCGGAAUCAUUGGGCGUAAAGAGCGUGUAGGCGGCUGGAUAAGUCAGAUGUGAAAGCCCUGGGCUUAACCCAGGAAGUGCAUUUGAAACUGUUCAGCUUGAGUAAGGGAGAGGAAAGUGGAAUUCCUGGUGUAGAGGUGAAAUUCGUAGAUAUCAGGAGGAACACCGGUGGCGAAGGCGACUUUCUGGCCCUAUACUGACGCUGAGACGCGAGAGCGUGGGUAGCAAACAGGAUUAGAUACCCUGGUAGUCCACGCUGUAAACGAUGUUCACUAGGUGUUGGGGGUAUUGACCCUCUCAGUGCCGCAGCUAACGCAUUAAGUGAACCGCCUGGGGAGUACGGUCGCAAGAUUAAAACUCAAAGGAAUUGACGG
rnacentral:rRNA from 1 species